GGAGUAGCCGGAUACUGCAGCAGCCUCUCCUUCACUCUGACUGCUUCAGGAGGAAUUCAAGCCUGUCAAGACGAUAAAACACUUGGACAAAGUUUGAUUGGAUUAGAAAAGCAGCACUUGGGGAGUUCAGCUGACGGGGAGUACUGCAGAAUGAAAAGCAGCUUCUGACUCGACGAGGAUCUCCAUGAUGCAUGAGAAGGAGCCCUAAUCAUCAUUACCAACGCUAGCCAGGAGCCACGCUAGCUUCCAGCAGAACGCCAAGCAUGAAGAUCAGAGAGGGGGACAGGUG